UGGAUUCCAGAAAAUCAAAUAUGCCCAUUAAAAGAUGGGGUACAGAGCUAAACAAAGAAUUCUCAACUGAAGAAAACCGGUAUGGCUGAGAAGCACCUGAAAAAAAAAAUGUUCAACUUCUGUAGUGGCUAUUCCUGGCUGUCAACUUGACUAUAUUUGGAAUGAACUACAAUCCAGAAUUGGAAGGCUCACCAGUGACUCUUAUCUGGAGGCUUGGAGAUCCUUAUCUGGAUCUUGGUUUGAAGAUCUUGAGCCAUAGUGGCUAUGGAUUCCAGAAGAUUCAAUCUCCGAUUUUAAGGAACACACCUUUAAUCUGGGCUACAACUUUUCAUCUGGGAUUAAGGGUGUGGUGGAACACACCUUUAAUCUGGGCUACACCUUCUGCUCGAGACAAUAUAAGGACAUUGGAAGAAGGGAGUCUAGCUCUUGCUCCUUCGCCUGCUUGCUGUGUGAGAUUGAGUAACUGCUAGAUCCUUGGACUUCCAUUCACAGCUGUGACUGAACAAUUGUUGGGAAUUGGGCUGCCGACUGUAAGUCAUCAAUAAAUUCCUUUACUAUCUAAAGACUAUCCAUAAGUUCUGUGACUCUAGAGAACCCUGACUAAUACAACAUCCUUAAUUAUCAGGGAAAUGAAAAUCAAAACAACCCUGAGAUUCCACCUCACACUAGUCAGAAUGGCUAACAUCAAAAAUUCAGGUGACAGCAGAUGCUAGUGAGGAUGUGGAGAAAGAGGAACGCUCCUCCAUGGCUGGUGGGAUUGCAUGCUUGUACCACCACUCUGGAAAUCAGUGUGGCGGCUCCUCAGAAAAUUGGACAUAGUACUACUGGAAGAUCCAGCAAUAACUCAUCCGGGCCUAUGCCCAUAAGAUGUUUCAACUGGUAAUAAAAACACAUGCUCCACUACGUUCAUAGCAGCCUUAUUCAUAAUAGCCAGAAGCUGGAAAGAACCCAGAUGUCCCGCAAUAAAAGAGUGGAUACAGAAAAUGUGGUACAUUUACACAAUGGAGUACUACUCCGCUAUUAAAAUCAAUGAAUUUCUGAAAUUCUUAGGCAAAUGGAGGCAUCUGGAGGGUAUCGUCCUGAGUGAGGUAACCCAAUCACAAAAGAACUCACAUGAUAUGCACUCACUGAUAAGUGGAUAUUAGUCCAGAAACUUAGAAUACCCAAGGUACAAUUUGCAAAACACAAGAAACUAAAGAAGAAGGAAGACCAAAGUGUGGAUACUUCAGCCCUCCUAAGAAUGGGGAACAAAAUACUCACAGAAGGAGUUAGAGAGACAAAGUUGGGAGCUGAGACUGAAGGAAGGACCAUGCAGAGACUGCCCCACCCAGGGAUCCAUACCAUAAUCAGCCACCAAAUGCAGACACUAUUACAUAUGCCAGCAAGAUUUUGCUGACAUGACCCUGAUAUAGCUGUCUCUUGUGAAGCUAUGCCAGUUCUUGGCAAAUACAGAAGUCGGUGCUCACAAUCAUCUAUUUAAUGGAACACGGGGCCCAAAAUGGAGGAGCUAGAGAAAGGACCCAAGGAGCUGAAGGGGUCUGUAACCCUAUAGGAGGAACAGCAAUAUGGACUAAGCAGUAGCCCCUGAGCUCGUGUCUCUACCUGCAUAUGUAGCAGGAGAAGGCCUAGUCGGUCAUCAUUGGGAGGAGAGGACCUUGGAGUGGCAAAGAUUAUAUGCCCCAGGACAGGGGAAUGCCAGGGCCAGGAAGCUGCCAGGGCCAGG
rnacentral:lncRNA from 1 species